CCUACGGGAGGCAGCAGUAGGGAAUCUUCCGCAAUGGACGAAAGUCUGACGGAGCAACGCCGCGUGAACGAUGAAGGCCUUCGGGUCGUAAAGUUCUGUUGUUAGGGAAGAACAAGUGCUAGUUAAAUAAGCUGGCACCUUGACGGUACCUAACCAGAAAGCCACGGCUAACUACGUGCCAGCAGCCGCGGUAAUACGUAGGUGGCAAGCGUUGUCCGGAAUUAUUGGGCGUAAAGCGCGCGCAGGCGGUUUCUUAAGUCUGAUGUGAAAGCCCCCGGCUCAACCGGGGAGGGUCAUUGGAAACUGGGAAACUUGAGUGCAGAAGAGGAAAGUGGAAUUCCAAGUGUAGCGGUGAAAUGCGUAGAGAUUUGGAGGAACACCAGUGGCGAAGGCGACUUUCUGGUCUGUAACUGACGCUGAGGCGCGAAAGCGUGGGGAGCAAACAGGAUUAGAUACCCCGGUAGUCCACGCUGUAAACGAUGAGUGCUAAGUGUUAGAGGGUUUCCGCCCUUUAGUGCUGAAGUUAACGCAUUAAGCACUCCGCCUGGGGAUACGGUCGCAAGACUGAAACUCAAAGGAUUGACGGNUGAGACGNGCGAGCGACACGAGGAGAG
rnacentral:rRNA from 1 species